UAUGUUUAAUCAUGAUUUUCAACUUAGUGGGAUUCAGAAUUGCCUACAAAACCAACCUCUGGGUGUGUCUGUGAGAGCAUCUCCAUAGAUGUUUAACUGAGGUAGGCAGGGCCACCCUAAGUGUAGACAAUACUGUCCAGUGGGUUGGGAUGUCCCACUACAUAAGGAGGAGGAAGUUAGUGAAGGAUCAGGAUUCAUCUCUCUCUUUUCCACUUGGAUGCAAUGUGACCAGCUGUCUCAUGUUCCUGCCGACACACCUCCCCUGAUGUGAUGGUUUGAAUAAGAAUGACCCCUAUAGGUACAUAUAUUCGAAUGCUUAGUCAUCAGGGAGUGACACCACUUGAGAAGGAUUAGGCAGUGUGGCCUUAUUGGAGUGGGCGUGGCCUUAUCCGAGGAAGCAUGUCCCUGGAGGUGGGCUCCAGAAAGUGAGCUUUCAAAAGCCCAGGUCCAGUGUCUUUCUUUUCCUGUUGCCUGUGGAUCCAGAUGUAGAAACUCUCAGCUACUUCUCCAGCACUGUGUCUGCCUGCACGCUGCCAUGCGCCCCACCAUGAAGAUAAUGGGACUAAAUCUCUGAAAAUGCCUGCUGGGAAAGAGUGGAGCUCUUCAGAGACAAGGCUCGGCUUAAUCGUGAUAUAAGUGAGAACAAGGCAUCAAUGGACUAGGGACCAUAAACUCACCCAGGGACAUUUUGAAGCACAGAGAAGAGUCCAGUCAAGGCCAGCUUCCAUAUAUCCAAGUGUUUAAAAGUUAAGUCAUCAAACAAGCAAAGUCUUCAAUCUCUUCUCCUGACUUGACAGACAUCUUCAUGACUUCCUGAAGGUCAAGUGUGAAUUGAGAAUUUGGAGUCACAAGAGCUCCAGAUGAAACUGGGUGGUGGUGGCACACGCCUUUAAUCCCAGUACUUGGGAGGCAGAGGCAGGUGGAUCUCUGUGAGUUCGAGACCAGCCUGGUCUACAAGAGCUAGUUCCUGGAUAGCCUCCAAAGCCACAGAGAAACACUGCCUUGAAAACAACAACAACAACAACAACAACAACAACAACAACAAAAACCAAAAAACUCCAGAUGGAAUGUGGGAUUCAGCCCCUAACCCUACCUAGUACUAGAAGAGAUCUUUAAAUUUUUAAAAUUACAUUUGUAUUUGUUUGGGGUAUGGGUGUGGGUGUUUGUGGCGGGGGGGUAUAUGCACCAUGGUACACAUGUAGAGGUCAAAGGACAACUUAAGGGCUUCUUCUUUCCAUCAGUCCUGGGCAUAGAACUCAGGUCUUCAGUCUUGGCGGCAGGUUCCUUUAUCUGAUGAGCCAUCUCAUCAGCCCUAAAGGGGUUUUAAUCACAAACAUGUAAACACUUACUAUGAGUCCUAGCCCUACUACUACCUACCACACCACCCCUUUGUCACCCCAAAGACCUGUGGCUAUAUACACCAGUGACAUAAUUCACCUGCUUUGGCAGACCAGACUUCAAUUAAUUAGAGCCCCUCACUGACUGAUUUAAGCUCAGAAACUCAGUCAGGGAAUUUCAGAACUGUAAAGCAAGAUCAAGCAGUGUGUUCUUGUCGAAUCUGUUUCUUUAUCCCAAGAGUACUCUGACUGUGGCUGGAGCAAAAUCCUAACAUAUGGACUACACAGUAUGGGCCAGUCUUGUGACCACCAAACCAAGGCCAGAGCCUGUCAGACAUGAGGUCAGCCAGUGGGAGUUCAGAAGAGGAUCUCUGGAAUUUCCUAGAAGGGUCCUCAUGGUGUCUUUGUGCCUCCUGUGGCUAAGAUUGGGUGUCUGCCCGUGACCUCAUGCCUCCACACAGGUCCCAUGGGUGUCAAGCAGGUGUCACCAUCUCAGGCUCCCAACACAGUGGAGCUUAUUAUCUUAUUAUCUUCCUCUCUCACUCCUUAACUCUAAUUUCCACUGUCCUGUGCUACUUGGCUGACCUCCUUGGCAGAGAUGUGACAAAAGGAUGUGUCUCUAGAGGUUCAGAUCCCUCAGCCAUCAGAACCCAAAGUUUCCUUGAGGCCACAUGAGCUAAAGGGCGAGAGUCCUACCCUCCAAUCACUCUGACCAAUCACGGUUUCCUUUCACCUCGUCUGGGUUGGUGGAUGUCAUUCAAAGUAGGCUGGUUCAUCUGUGCAGGCAGGGAGCAAGCCCCUUUUCUUGCCUGCACAGAUUCUCCUCACAGCCUGAGAUAGCCUUCAUUGCAGUUCCCAGCAUCCUCACAAGCCCUUACAAGCUAGCCUCCACCCUGGGCUCUGCCUCUCCCUCCCGUGUCUACUUUUUUAACCCCACACGACUGUUCUUAUUUCUACCCAAAUCCUUUCAUCCUUGAAGUUGUGUUUGGAGCCUUCCUCC
ensembl:lncRNA